rnacentral:rRNA from 1 species
AUUGAACGCUGGCGGCGUGCUUAACACAUGCAAGUCGAACGAGAAAGGGACUUCGGUCCUGAGUAGAGUGGCGCACGGGUGAGUAACGCGUAGGUAAUCUACCUCUGUGUCUGGGAUAACACUUCGAAAGGGGUGCUAAUACCGGGUAAUCUCAUAAAUCGGGAGAUUUAUGAGGAAAGGUGACGCUCCGCAAGGAGUUACCGUACAGAGAUGAGCCUGCGUCCCAUUAGCUAGUUGGCAGGGUAAAGGCCUACCAAGGCGACGAUGGGUAGCGGGUCUGAGAGGAUGAUCCGCCACACUGGAACUGAAACACGGACCAGACUCCUACGGGUGGCUG